rnacentral:rRNA from 1 species
GACAGAGGGGGCAAGCGUUGUCCGGAUUUACUGGGCGUAAAGAGCGCGCAGGCGGUCGUACAAGUCGCGUGUGAAAGCCCCCGGCUCAACUGGGGAGGGUCACGCGAUACUGUUCGACUCGAAGGCAGGAGAGGGAAGCGGAAUUCCCGGUGUAGUGGUGAAAUGCGUAGAUAUCGGGAGGAACACCAGUGGCGAAGGCGGCUUCCUGGCCUGUUCUUGACGCUGAGGCGCGAAAGCUAGGGGAGCAAACGGG